AAUGGCCGCGCUGCACCGGCUGGCCCAGCACGCUGGAUGCCGGAAAGCCUCGGCGGCGGCGCGCUCUGGCGUGAAGGGCCAGUGGCGUCAGGGGGAGGCCUGGCCCGCGGACCGGGCUCCCAGCUCGGGCAGGUCUUACAGCCCAGCUCUGUGCUUAGCUCUCUGCUGGCUCCAGGAGGGGUCCUCACUCGCUGACCACACCGACCUCAGGACCAAGGGAAAAAACACAGCAGGGGCAAUCCGUCCUGUCCACGGAGAAGUGCUAAACCCCAAAGGGUCCCAGCUGCAGGGCAGCCAUGAGCCUGGUGGCCUACGAGUGCCUGCCCAGCCCCGGCCUGGAGCCUGAGCCUUGCUCACGAGCACGGUCCCAGGCUCGCGUGUACCUAGAGCAGAUUCGCAACAGGGUGGCUCUGGGGGCGCCUGACAUGACAAAGCGUGACUAUCUGGUGGAUGCGGCCACGCAGAUCCGGCUGGCCCUGGAGCGCGACGUUGGUGAGGACUAUGAAGCGGCCUUCAACCACUAUCAGAAUGGCGUGGACGUGCUGCUCCGUGGCAUACACGUUGACCCCAACAAGGAGCGACGUGAGGCUGUGAAGCUGAAAAUUACCAAGUACCUGCGGCGGGCAGAGGAGAUCUUCAACUGCCACCUGCAGCGGCCGCUGGGCAGUGGAGCCAGCCCCAGCACGGGUUUCAGCAGCCUGAGGCUCCGGCCCAUCCGCACGCUGAGCUCUGCUGUGGAGCAGCUGAGGGGCUGCAGGGUGGUCGGGGUCAUCGAGAAGGUGCAGCUGGUCCAGGACCCGGCAACCGGAGAGACCUUCGUGGUGAAGAGCCUACCCAGGUGCCACAUGGUGAGCCGGGAGCGGCUGACCAUCAUCCCACAUGGAGUCCCCUACAUGACGAAGCUGCUCAGGUACUUUGUGAGCGAGGACUCUAUCUUCCUGCACCUGGAGCAUGUGCAAGGAGGCACUCUCUGGUCCCACCUGCUCUCCCAGGCGCACCCCCGACAUUCUGGGCUCAGCUCUGGCUCUACCCAGGAGAGGAUGAAGGCUCAGCUCAACCCCCACCUCAACCUCCUGACCCCAGCGAGGCUCCCCUCAGGCCACACCCCUGGCCAGGACAGAAUCGCCCUGGAGCCUCCUAGGACUUCUCCGAGCCUUCCCCUAGCCGGGGAGGCCCCAUCCACCGGACCCCAGAGGGAGGCUGAAGGUGAACCCACAGCCAGGACCAGCACCUCUGGCUCCUCGGACCUUCCAAAGGCCCCAGGUGGCCACCUGCACCUUCAAGCUAGGCGGGCUGGCCAGAACUCAGACGCUGGGCCCCCUCAGGGGCUCACUUGGGUUCCCGAGGGGGCCGGCCUGGUGCUAGGGGGCUGUGGCCGAGGCAUGGAUCAGAGCUGCCUGUCAGCAGAUGGGGCCAGCCAGGGCUGUGGCAGGGCCACCUGGAGUGUGAGACAGGAGCAGGUGAAGCAGUGGGCGGCGGAGACGCUGGUGGCACUGGAGGCACUGCAUGAGCAGGGGGUGCUGUGCCGGGACCUCCACCCCGGGAACCUGCUCCUGGACCAGGCAGGUCACAUCCGGCUCACAUAUUUUGGCCAGUGGUCAGAGGUGGAGCCCCAGUGCUGCGGGGAGGCCGUGGACAAUCUCUACAGUGCCCCAGAGGUGGGUGGGAUUUCUGAGCUGACAGAAGCCUGUGACUGGUGGAGCUUUGGGUCUCUACUAUAUGAACUGCUGACAGGAAUGGCACUGUCCCAGAGCCACCCUUCAGGAAUCCAGGCCCACACCCAGCUCCAGCUGCCCGAGUGGCUCAGUCAUCCGGCGGCCUCUCUGCUGACUGAGGUGAGGUGUAGCCCGGCCAGAGGAAGCAGCUGCCUAGCCUGAGGAAGGUGCUGGGAGGGGCACGGAACUGUGUCUGCACCACGUGUGCUUCGUGCUCAGUGUCUGAUGUGGAUGCAGAGGACAGUAGGGUCAACACAUUUCUACAUGUUGGUGGCCAACCACCACUAAUGUCCCCAGGCUGCUGCAGUUCGAGCCUACCCGGCGCCUGGGCGUGGGAGAAGGUGGUGUCAGCAAACUCAAGUCCCAUCCCUUUUUCAGUACCAUCCAGUGGAGCAAACUGGUGGGGUAAGAGGGUAGAGCGGGUGACGGAAGCAGCUGGCCUGGUCUGGAUCGCCUCUCCUCCUUGCCUGACACCCAGGGCUGGUCCUCUAUCAGCGGGCUUCGGGCGAGGAAUGGAGGGCACUGCCUGUCCUACUGGGCUCCCACUGGGACCUCAGAAUUAUGGCCACCACCCAGGAAGGGCCAGCUCCUGGAAAAGCUGGAGGUGGGCACAGUCAAGGCUUGCUCUGCUAAGCAGCUUGAACCUUCCACCCAUCAGUCAACAGACCUGUUGAGCAUGUGGACUCGCCAUGUUAAAGGCUGCCUUCUGUGGCACUGGCGCGGAGCUCUUGACCACCUGCUGCACCCUACUGUGAGGUGCUGUGACUCACUCACUGCCAUGUUGUGCCCUACUCAGGACAUCUCUGGAGACUCAUCUCAGGACACUGAUCCACUGGCUCAGUGGACCCAAACCAGACUGUCCUGGCUAGUCCUCUUAGUCAUACAACGAGUGGGCCUCUUCCACCAGAAGCUGUUACUGCAGCUGGGGAGGCUCAGAAGCAAGGAUGCCAUCUGUAGUGUGGGGAGGGAUGCGGUACGGGACAGGAAGACCCCCCCCCAUUCAUGACCAUGCCCCCAUCUUGUGAUUUCAGACUUGGGAGAGCAAAAGGGAGGGGAAGAAAAUAAGAGGAAUGGGGGGAGGAAGGAAUGCACGGCUCUGCCCCUUAGAGCAAGUCUGAAACCAGAAUCAAGAGCCCUCCUCCCCGGUGGGGCCAGCUGUGUGGGGGGAGGGGGGCAGCCUGCCCCAGGGGUGCAAGAGGACAGCAAUUCAGCCUCCAGGCCAAAGCAGCUGAGACAAGAUAUGCCCAUAAGGAUCCCCUCUCAGGCUUUGGCUGUUUACCAUGUCACUGCCUACUGUGACUUCACGUCCUUUUGGGAUAAGAAACCACAAAACGCAUGGAACAACUAUCCAUGGCUCUUAGCCAGAAACGUCUUGCUUCUGGUCUCUGAAAAACUGGAGUGAGUGGUUGUCCCAAAGACAAUCGCCCCCAGUUUGGGGGCUCCUCUCAGGGUUCACCCUGUCACCGGGGCGUGGGACCUGGGAAACUUCCACUAGACUUUUGCCCCCAGCUCCUCCCCGCCAGCAUCCCAGUCACCACCAGGUGGCGCUUCCUACAUGGUCCACCUGUCUGGCUCUGAAGGCCCAACUCUGUCAGGCCAGACUCCUGUCACUCAUGAUGGGGAGACCUGACUUCCUCGGGCUCUUCAGGAGACUGAGACAGAGAGGACAAGCGAAAGCGCAGCCUGUAUAUGACUCUCCGCGGUUCACAACCUGCCUCUCCCUGGGGUUUACCUAGCCCCAAUAAAGCCUGCUCUGGUCUACGGUGUUCGUUCUUCUUCCAUGCAAUGACCGCGGCUCAUUGGGGCAGGUUGGAAGGCUCCCCCAUAGAACCUCCAGAGUGAAGUCAAGAGUGAUCUUGGGGGCUGCCAGGAAGUAGGAUGCAGGGCUGGUGGUGAGCAGCAUGCCACCUGUGCCCUGGGCCGCAGGGGAAGUGGUGGGGUCAGGAGGAGGACCAGGCUCUGUGGGGAAGAGGAUGAAGCAGCCUUGGAAGAGGCUCAUGGUGCCUGGGGGAAUACCAGUUUCAUCCUCACAGUGACCCCCUUGCAACAGAUGGUAGCUCAUGAGAAAACUGAAGCUCAAAGAGGUUAAGGACACAACCUAGCCAGAGUUGCAAGUUACUUCUGCUACUCUCCCUAAGUCAGGCUAGACCACUUCCAACCACUGCUUCAUGAAACACAAGUCACUUCUGGAACUUCUGUGCUUCAUCCACCCAACGCUACAUGUCUGUUACCUUGUUGGGCCCUGAGUUUAGAAUACUGUGGGUCCCAGCUCUUAACAGUCAACCUCCUUUCGAUAGAAUGGGGCAAGCAAUGCCUAUAUUGCAGGUUUACCAGGUAUAUUAAAGCUUCUAACACCAA